rnacentral:ncRNA from 2 species
UCACAAACUGACGGGUGUCCCUAUCUUUCCAGUAAUGGAAGGAAAGGGCCUGAGAAUAUACCGUACGAACUCGAUCAAGCUAAUACUUGCGUGAGGAAAAGUUUGUGUUGAAAAA